rnacentral:rRNA from 1 species
AUUGAACGCUGGCGGCAGGCCUAACACAUGCAAGUCGAGCGGACGAACGAAGCUUGCUCCUGGCUUCAGUUGCGGACGGGCGAGUAAUUCCCACGAAUAUACCCGGCCUAUGGGGAUAACGUCCGUAAACGGGCCCUAAUACCACACACGUCCUGAUUGUGAACGGGGGGGAUCAACGGACCUCACGCUUCCUGCUGUGCCUAAGUGGGAUUAGCUAGUUGGUGUGGUAACGGCCUACCAAGGCGACGAUCCGUAACUGGUCUGAGAGGCUGAUCAGCCACACUGGAACUGAGACACGGUCCAGACUCCUACGGGAGGCAGCAGUAGGGAAUAUUGGACAAUGGGCGAAAGCCUGAUGCAGCCAUGCCGCGUGUGUGAAGAAGGUCUUCGGAUUGUAAAGCUCUGUAAGUUGGGAGGAAGGGAAGUGUGUGAAUAUCUUGCUGUUUUGACGGUACCAAAAGAGUAAGCACCGGCUAACUUCGUG